rnacentral:lncRNA from 1 species
GUUUUCACCUCCUCACCUAUCAUGAGACGUCUAAAUCUUUACUGCGGGAUUGAAUGGUACUUUGGUAUUGAGCUGACACUUUCUACUUGUAUUUGCGUAACCAUGGAGACAGAGCGUCUGUUUAGUGCAAUGAAGAAAAAGUGGGUGAAGGAUGAAUGAAAGCAGCAGGCACCGAAUAAUUUAAGAUGGGGACAUGCGAAGAAGCAGAGAAAGGAAAGAACUGAACUUGAAGGUCAAAGAAGAGAGAAAAAUUAACUUUAAACAGGGAAGUCUUGAAAAGCUUCCCACUUGGUGAACAUCUGUUCAAACUGUUCCGAAGUUGUACCUGUCAUGUCCGACAGAGUCUCCAGUUCUCGGGCAGCCGAAGGCCCCAGAGCGAUGGUGUGGAUGAUGGCACCGCUGCGAGAGACGGCCUCAAAGCAGGAACGUAUUCCAUUAUCUUCCCCAUCUGUCAGCAAUACGAUCUCAGAACCGGAAGUGCUCUGGUCACUGGAGCUGACUUGAUGAUACACGGAAAUGGGCAAGCAUUAGACUUCUCAGCAUUUUUAAUCCUCCAGAGAUAGACAUGUUGGCUACUCAGUAGAGGACGAACAAAUCUCCAAUAACGAUUUCUGGC